rnacentral:rRNA from 1 species
CUACGGGUCGCUGCAGUGGGGGAUAUUGCGCAAUGGGCGAGAUGCCUGACGCAGCAACGCUGCAUGCGGGAUGAAGGUUUUCGGAUUGUAAACCGCAAUAGAUAGGGAGAAAAUCUUGAUGUUACCUAUCGAUAGCACUGGCUAACUACGUGCCAGCAGCCGCGGUAAUACGUAGAGUGCAAGCGUUAUUCGGAAUUACUGGGCGUAAAGCGCGUGUAGGUGGUAUUUUAAGUCACGCAAUAAAGACUGGAGCUCAACUUCGGGAAUUUGUGUGAAACUAGAUUACUUGAGGAUGUCAGAGACGAGCGGAACACCUAGUGUAGGGGUAAAAUCCGUUGAUAUUAGGUGGAACACCAAUGGCGAAAGCAGCUUGUUGGGACAUUCCUGACACUCAGACGCGAAAGCGUGGGUAGCGAACGGGAUUAGAUACCCGGGUAGUC